AACGAACGCUGGCGGCAUGCCUAACACAUGCAAGUCGAACGAGACCUUCGGGUCUAGUGGCGCACGGGUGCGUAACGCGUGGGAACCUGCCCUUAGGUUCGGAAUAACUCCCCGAAAGGGGUGCUAAUACCGGAUAAUGUCUUCGGACCAAAGAUUUAUCGCCUUUGGGUGGGCCCGCGUUGGAUUAGCUAGUUGGUAGGGUAAUAGCCUACCAAGGCGACGAUCCAUAGCUGGUCUGAGAGGAUGAUCAGCCACACUGGGACUGAGACACGGCCCAGACUCCUACGGGAGGCAGCAGUGGGGAAUACUGGACAAUGGGCGAAAGCCUGAUACAGCAAUGCCGCGUGAGUGAUGAAGGCCUUAGGGUUGUAAAGCUCUUUUACCCGGGAUGAUAAUGACAGUACCGGGAGAAUAAGCUCCGGCUAACUCCGUG
rnacentral:rRNA from 1 species